GCCGGGCAUGGUGGCAGGUGCCUGUAAUCCCAGCUACUCGGGGAGGCCGAGGUGGGCGGAUCACAAGGUCAGGAGAUCGAGACCAUCCUGGCUAACACGGUGAAACCCCGUCUCUACUAAAAAAUAUUAAAAAAUAGCCGGGCGAGAUGGCGGGCGCCUGUAGCCCCAGCUGCACGGGAGACUGAGGCAGGAGAAUGGNGCCACCACGCCUGCCUAAUUUUUUGUAUUUUUAGUAGAGACGGGGUUUCACCGUGUUAGCCAGGAUGGUCUCGAUCUCCUGACCUUGUGAUCCGCCCACCUCGG
rfam:Chlorocebus sabaeus isolate 1994-021 chromosome 20, whole genome shotgun sequence.